ensembl:snoRNA SNORD15 Small nucleolar RNA SNORD15
CUUCGGUGAUGAUACGAUGACGAGUCGGAACCAGGCCGUCUUCUUCUGCUGGUCGCUGGUUCGGGGCCACGUUCUGUGGCUCUGCUCCGGCUCCGCAGAAGAGAGGCCGUGUCCCCCUGAAGACGCUGAGGCAUUUGUCUGAGAAGG